GAUGAACGCUGGCGGCGUGCUUAACACAUGCAAGUCGAACGGUGAAGGCGGAGCUUGCUCUGCUGGAUCAGUGGCGAACGGGUGAGUAACACGUGAGCAAUCUGCCCCUGACUCUGGGAUAAGCGCUGGAAACGGCGUCUAAUACUGGAUACGAGCUGCGAAGGCAUCUUCAGCAGCUGGAAAGAACCUCGGUCAGGGAUGAGCUCGCGGCCUAUCAGCUUGUUGGUGAGGUAACGGCUCACCAAGGCGUCGACGGGUAGCCGGCCUGAGAGGGUGACCGGCCACACUGGGACUGAGACACGGCCCAGACUCCUACGGGAGGCAGCAGUGGGGAAUAUUGCACAAUGGGCGAAAGCCUGAUGCAGCAACGCCGCGUGAGGGACGACGGCCUUCGGGUUGUAAACCUCUUUUAGCAGGGAAGAAGCGAAAGUGACGGUACCUGCAGAAAAAGCGCCGGCUAACUACGUG
rnacentral:rRNA from 1 species